rnacentral:lncRNA from 1 species
UCUUCCGGGCGCCAGGCUCCAGGCUCCGUUCCGAAGCUGGGAAAAUGCAAGCGGUUCUUUGCGUGUAACAGGAUCUGUGAGGGGUGCACGCGAGCUUGGAAGCCACGCUAUGGUGAGCAAGGGACCGCAGUCUUGGGAGAAGUGGGCUGCUGAGCCUCGGCAUCCCUUUUGGUAGGCUACCCUUGGACUGGAUGGAAGCUAGUGGGCCAGAUGUGGAGUUGUAUGAAGUCCCAUGCGGUCUCUGUAGUUCCCUGUACCAAAGUGGUGACCUCUGAAGAACUUCACCCUGUGGGCAGCGUCUGUGUAGAGCUUUGGGGACAUGGUGUGUGCGUAGAAACAUCUUUGUAGCCAACAUCACCGUGCUUCUUGUGCAUCAGAGGACGGCAGGUUGCCGUUUUAGUUUAGCUAGCAUCUCUAGAAUUUCUGUUCUUCGGAUUUCACAUUUGGAGUUAAUUUUGUGGGUAUUGUGCAUGGAAUCUUAUGUGUUGGUAGCACUCCACUAUUUUGCUGAGAUGAUAAUGCAAAGGAUUUACCAAUGCUUCGGAGAGAAUAAGUCACACAGAGUAGAGUUUAGCUAAAGGUGGGCUGCCUCUGAAACACCCAAAGAUAUAGUGUAUUAAUGAGGUCUGUAAGAGAUGAAGUGCUAGAUACGCAUGUUUGUUCACCAGGAUUGUCUAGACAUUUGGCUCCAACCAUAAGGAAGGAGACAACCCUGAUCUUAAACAGCCGCUAGACCGAUGCCCUUAAGAAGUGGCAGGAGACCAAGAAGCUGCUCAAAGGAGCAGGUAGGGUCAUGUAACCAACAUUAAGGCCUGGUGUGCCAUAAAAGUCCUGUUUUCUUCUUAGGCAGUGGCUGCUUUCUAUGGAUCCUCUUAUAUAGAUGCAGCCAGUUGUCCUUUUGUUAGCAAGCCAGACAGCAGUAUGGUCUUCACUGUAGCAGCAUCAAGAUCUCGGCCUGCCUGCUGUGGGCCUCUGCGUUUAUUAGUUAUAAGGAGCCGUCACAUCAUUACUACAUUAUCUGCUACACACAGCGCUGACCUGAGCUGGAGAGCUGACCUGAGCUAGCUGCUCCUCAGCUUAACACCCAGCUCAGUCCUCUUCUAACUUCUUAGUGUGCUCUCUAUGAUUUCCCACCCCAGCUUUUAUCUUUUCUCCUUUAUACUUUUAUAAUCUUUCUCAGUCUGGCAUAUUCACCUAGGGACCCUGACACUGAAGAAUGGUCUACUGUUCCAGGAUACUGGUGUACUUAAGAAAUAGUCCUGGGAAUACUUUGUUGUGUAAGCCUCUCUUCUGCCUAAGUAACCACUUAGCAACUUAAAAUUGGACUCUCCUGUCUCUAUGUGAAUUGUUCAGCGUGUAACCUGGGGCCUGACGCAGCAUAUGUAGGAUGGAAAAUGUGUCCUAGGCUGGCUCCUCUUUGAGCACCAGCCAGUGCUGUAUGCAUGCUAUUCUUCAAGAAUUUUUCUUCAUUAAUACCUUACGUUCAUCAAGUUAUUUCUCUCUGGGCAGACACAUUAAUUCUAGAACACCUGUACCUCCUGCAGAAAAAUGUUUCUGAGGCUCUGUCUGUUACAUUGUUUCAGGUAGCCUUGACCCUAGAUACAGACAAGUCUAUAUGUCCACAGGGUAUAUAUCUUGCUGUCCACUUGACUAAAAUUAAAAUUCUAAAAUUCUUAAAUUAAGGGGUUAUACCAUCAUAGAGUUUUAAAAUGACCAAUUUGAGUCACUUAGACCACAAGAAUCAUUUAAGCAGUAGUAAAAGGAUUUGUGUGUGGAGCAUGGUCUCUACUUUCAGACCAAAAUAGGAGCAACAGUUUAUUGUAUACAGUGCAGGGGGAAAUGGGGAAGGCAAUAGCUAGAUCACAGACUGAAGUUUAAGGCAGUCAGCUCCAGUAGUCCCAUUAUGAAGAAGGUCCUGAUUGAAGUAGGAGGGUGGUUUUGUAAUUUUUCGACAUGUAUUGAUUCAUGCCAUGUGAACGAAGACAGAUCAGAUUGGUGGGUGUACAAUUUGGGGAGGUUACCUUGAGCCAGUUGAUAUCGAAUUUCCAGCUAAGGAACUCUCCUAUGCAGAUAUGUGCAAUCCUGGUUGAAAUAGUUAAGCCAGCUCAGAGGUUUGAGAUAUAGGCCCUCACUGCCUGUAGCUGAGUGUGUCAGGUUACAGACCCCAGCAGCUAAUAUUGUGUACAGGAGCAAGGUCAAUUAUUAAUUCUCCCUGCCCCUCCCUCAGAUCCAUAACUUUAUUUGCUUUUAAAAAGAAAAUUAAAGCAGUUCCCGACACUUGCUAGUGGUCUUUGUGUCUACACAGCCUGUGAUUUGUGAAAUAGAAU